AAAGAUACCCGGGUAGUCCACGCCGUAAACGUUGGGCACUAGGUGUGGGGAGCCGUCAACGCUUUCCGUGCCGUAGCUAACGCAUUAAGUGCCCCGCCUGGGGAGUACGGCCGCAAGGCUAAAACUCAAAGGAAUUGACGGGGGGCCCGCACAAGCGGCGGAGCAUGUUGCUUAAUUCGAGGCAACGCGAAGAACCUUACCUAGGUUGAACUAUGCAGGAAAAGCCACAGAGAUGUGGUGUCCUUCGGGCCUGCGAUAGGUGGUGCAUGGCUGUCGUCAGCUCGUGUCGUGAGAUGUUGGGUUAAGUCCCGCAACGAGCGCAACCCUUAUCCUAUGUUGCCAGCGGGUAAUGCCGGGGACUCGUAGGAGACUGCCGGGGUCAACUCGGGAGGAAGGUGGGGACGACGUCAAGCCAUCAUGCCCCUUAUGUCUAGGGCUGCAAACAUGCUACAAUGGCCGGUACAGAGGGCUGCGAAACCGCGAGGUCGAGCGAAUCCCAAAAAGCCGGUCUCAGUUCGGAUUGAAGUCUGCAACUCGACUUCA
rnacentral:rRNA from 1 species